UAUAAUUGAAGCCAAAAAGAGGCAAGUCGCUGUUAAUGACUAUAUUGAAUUUCUCCAAUUAUAU
rnacentral:tRNA from 1 species